rnacentral:rRNA from 1 species
UACGGAGGGUGCAAGCGUUAUCCGGAAUCACUGGGUUUAAAGGGUGCGUAGGCGGUCAGAUAAGUCAGUUGUGAAAUACCCCGGCUUAACCGGUGGAACUGCGAUUGAUACUGUUUGACUUGAAUCAGGUUGAGGUAGGCGGAAUGUGGCAUGUAGCGGUGAAAUGCUUAGAUAUGCCAUAGAACACCGAUUGCGAAGGCAGCUUGCUGGACCUGUAUUGACGCUGAGGCACGAAAGCGUGGGGAGCAAACAGG